GACGAGGGGUCCUAGCGUUGUUCGGAAUCAUUGGGCGUAAAGCGGGUGUAGGAGGCCUUGCAAGUCAGAAGUGAAAGCCCUGGGCUUAACCCGGGAAGUGCUUUUGAAACUGCAUGGCUUGAGUGCUGGAGAGGGCAGUAGAAUUCCUGGUGGAGUGGUGAAAUACGUAGAUACCAGGAGGAACACCGGAGGGGAUGGCGGCUGCCUGGCCGGACACUGACACUCAGACCCGAGAGUGCGGGGAUCAAACAGG
rnacentral:rRNA from 1 species